rnacentral:rRNA from 1 species
AUACGGAGGAUCCGAGCGUUAUCCGGAUUUAUUGGGUUUAAAGGGUGCGUAGGCGGACGAUUAAGUCAGCUGUGAAAUGCCCGCGCUUAACGCGGGAAGUGCAGUUGAUACUGGUUGUCUGGAGUGCCGUUGCCGUGGGGGGAAUGUGUAGUGUAGCGGUGAAAUGCAUAGAUAUUACACAGAACGCCGAUUGUGAAGACACCUCACGAAGCGGUAACUGACGCUGAGGCACGAAAGCGUGGGGAUCGAACAGGAUUAGAUACCCUGGUAGUCCACGCAGUAAACGAUGAUGGCUAACCGCUGGGCUUAUCAGUUCAGUGGCCAAGCGAAAGCGAUAAGCCAUCCACCUGGGGAGUACGACCGCAAGGUUGAAACUCAAAUGAAUUGGCGGGG